rnacentral:rRNA from 1 species
UACGGAGGGGGCGAGCGUUAUUCGGAAUUAUUGGGCGUAAAGGGCGCGUAGGCGGCCCUGUAAGUCAAAGGUGAAAUCCCUCGGCUCAACUGAGGAACUGCCUUUGAAACUGCAGGGCUUGAGGCCGGGAGGGGGUAGCGGAAUUCCCAAUGUAGCGGUGAAAUGCGUAGAUAUUGGGAGGAACACCAGUGGCGAAGGCGGCUACCUGGACCGGUUCUGACGCUGAGGCGCGAAGGCGUGGGUAGCAAACAGG